AUGAACGCUAGCGGCAGGCUUAACACAUGCAAGUCGAGGGGUAGUUGUCUUCGGACAAUGAGACCGGCGCACGGGUGCGUAACGCGUAUGCAAUCUACCUUUUGCAGGGGAAUAGCCCAGAGAAAUUUGGAUUAAUGCCCCAUAGUAUGAUGAAUCGGCAUCGGUUUAUCAUUAAAGUCACAACGGCAAAAGAUGAGCAUGCGUCCCAUUAGUUAGUUGGUAAGGUAACGGCUUACCAAGACUAUGAUGGGUAGGGGUCCUGAGAGGGAGAUCCCCCACACUGGUACUGAGACACGGACCAGACUCCUACGGGAGGCAGCAGUGAGGAAUAUUGGACAAUGGGCGCAAGCCUGAUCCAGCCAUGCCGCGUGCAGGAAGAAGCAUCUAUGGUGUGUAAACUGCUUUUGUACAGGAAGAAACACUCCCUCGUGAGGGAGCUUGACGGUACUGUAAGAAUAAGGAUCGGCUAACUCCGU
rnacentral:rRNA from 1 species